rnacentral:rRNA from 1 species
UACGGAGGGUGCAAGCGUUAUCCGGAUUUACUGGGCGUAAAGAGCGCGCAGGCGGUCGUCCAAGUCGCGUGUGAAAGCCCCCGGCUCAACUGGGGAGGGUCACGCGAUACUGGUCGACUCGAAGGCAGGAGAGGGUAGUGGAAUUCCCGGUGUAGUGGUGAAAUGCGUAGAUAUCGGGAGGAACACCAGUGGCGAAGGCGACUACCUGGCCUGUUCUUGACGCUGAGGCGCGAAAGCUAGGGGAGCAAACGGG